rnacentral:rRNA from 1 species
UGGGGAAUCUUCCGCAAUGGGCGAAAGCCUGACGGAGCAACGCCGCGUGAGUGAAGACGGCCUUCGGGUUGUAAAGCUCUGUUAUAUGGGACGAACGGGCGUAUGGUCAAUACCCAUACGCCGUGACGGUACCGUAAGAGAAAGCCACGGCUAACUACGUGCCAGCAGCCGCGGUAAUACGUAGGUGGCAAGCGUUGUCCGGAAUCAUUGGGCGUAAAGGGCGCGCAGGCGGUUCGGUAAGUCGGUCUUAAAAGUGCGGGGCUUAACCCCGUGAUGGGAUUGAAACUGCCGGACUGGAGUGUCGGAGAGGAAAGCAGAAUUCCUAGUGUAGCGGUGAAAUGCGUAGAUAUUAGGAGGAAUACCAGUGGCGAAAGCGGCUUUCUGGACGACAACUGACGCUGAGGCGCGAAAGCCAGGGGAGCAAACGGGAUUAGAUACCCCGGUAGUCCUGGCCGUAAACGAUGGAUACUAGGUGUAGGAGGUAUCGACCCCUUCUGUGCCGGAGUUAACGCAAUAAGUAUCCCGCCUGGGGAGUACGGCCGCAAGGUUGAAAC